GACGAACGCUGGCGGCGUGCUUAACACAUGCAAGUCGAACGGAAAGGCCCUGCUUGCUGGGUACUCGAGUGGCGAAAGGGUGAGUAACAAGAGGGUGAACCGCCCUGCACUUCGGGAUAAGCCUGGGAAACUGGGUCUAAUACCGGAAAGGAGCCAUUCUAAGUGUGAUGGUUGGAAAGUUUUAUCGGUAUAGGAUGAGCACGCGGCCUAUCAGCUUGUUGGUGGGGUAAUGGGCUACCAAGGCGGCGACGGGUAGCCGGCAUGAGAGGGUGGACGGCCUCAUUGGUCCUACGAUACGGCCAAGACGCCGACGGGAGGCAGCAGGGUGGAUGAUUGCACAGUGGCCAAGAGCCUGAUGCAGCGACGCCGCGUGGGGGAUGACGGCCUUCGGAUUGUAAACUCCUUUCGCUAGGAACGAUGCGUUUGUGACGGUACCUAGAUAAGAAGCACCGGCUAGCUACGUG
rnacentral:rRNA from 1 species